AUUGAAUGCUGGCGGCAGGCCUUACACAUGCAAGUCGAACGAGUGGCGGACGGGUGAGUAAUGUCUGGGAAACUGCCCGAUGGCGGGGGAUAACUACUCGAAACGGUAGCUAAUACCGCAUACCAUCAGAUGUGCCCAGAUGGGAUUAGCUAGUUGGUGGGGUAACGGCUCACCAAGGCGACGAUCCCUAGCUGGUCUGAGAGGAUGACCAGCCACACUGGAACUGAGACACGGGCCAGACUCCUACGGGAGGCAGCAGUGGGGAAUAUUGCACAAUGGGCGCAAGACUGAUGCAGCCAUGCCGCGUGUAUGAAGAAGGCCUUCGGGUUGUAAAGUACUUUCAGCGAGGAGGCGUUACCGACAGAAGAAGCACCGGCUAACUCCGUGCCAGCAGCCGCGGUAAUAC
rnacentral:rRNA from 1 species